rnacentral:rRNA from 1 species
CUUGCAGCCAGACUUGCUCGCGGGUGAUCAGCCGUCCUUCGGGGCGGUGCACUGACCCGCGAUCAGGCCAGCAUCGGUUUCGGCGGCCCGAUAAAAGGGGCGGGAACGUGGCUCCCCCCGGGGAGUGUUAUAGCCCGUCCCAGAAUGGGGCCAGCCGGGACCGAGGACCGCGCUUCGGCUAGGAUGCUGGCGUAAUGGCUGUAAGCGACCCGUCUUGAAACACGGACCAAGGAGUUGUCAAACAACGCGAGUCUUUGGGUGUCAAACCCACAGGCGCAAUGAAAGUGAACGGAGGUGGGAACCCCUCCCGGGGCGCACCAUCGACCGAUCCUGAUGUCUUCGGAUGGAUUUGAGUACGAGCGUUGGUUGACUGACCGAAAGAUGGUGAACUAUGCGUGAAUAGGGUGAAGCCAGAGGAACUCUGGUGGAGGCUCGCAGCGGUCUGACGUGCAAUCGAUCGUCAAUUUGCGUAUAGGGCGAAGACUAUCGAACAUCGUGCUAGUGGUCACCGGGACNGGUUCCCGAGUCCNACAGGCGACACGUCAGUGCGUGAAGUCCCCGGGUACGUCCCNGGGGCACGACACGCANCGAUUCGUUUCGUCACAGACCAGACACGUGGUCGUCCCCCGUUCACGGCGGACAUCAAUAGGCCAAACCUCUGUACCAGACCGGACUGGAGCACCGUCGUC